GGCUCAGGGUUCCAGGGUCACUUCUAUAGCACUGAUGAACAAAAGACUGAUGAACAGAGCUACAACAGAAUGCAUCCAGUCUACUGUUUUCAAGUUACACUUCCUUCAACUCUGCAAGUUACCUUCACAUUCAAGCAACUUACUCAUGGGACCACUGAAACAUUUCCUUCUCAGAGAUGGCUUCCCGUCCCACCCUAUUUUAAAAUUGUAAACCUGUCCCAUUGUUGCCUAUCUUUUCCUUGCUUUAUUCUUCUCCAUUGCACUGCUAGCACCUGGUAUACUCUAUAUUUUAAUUAGUUUUUUUUUUCAUAGUGUAGUGUAAGUUCUAUAAGGUCGAGAGUAUCUGGUUUAUCCGUUGCAAUAGCCUCAGUAUCUAGAACAUUGCCUUGACUGUAUUUAUUAAAUUUUUUAAAAUGAAGGAAUAAAUGAAUAUAUCAAAAGACAUACAUG
rnacentral:lncRNA from 1 species